AGUGAACGCUGGCGGUAGGCCUAACACAUGCAAGUCGAACGGCAGCACAGUAAGAGCUUGCUCUUACGGGUGGCGAGUGGCGGACGGGUGAGGAAUACAUCGGAAUCUACUUUUUCGUGGGGGAUAACGUAGGGAAACUUACGCUAAUACCGCAUACGACCUACGGGUGAAAGCAGGGGAUCUUCGGACCUUGCGCGAUUGAAUGAGCCGAUGUCGGAUUAGCUAGUUGGCGGGGUAAAGGCCCACCAAGGCGACGAUGCGUAGCUGGUCUGAGAGGAUGAUCGGCCACCCUGGAACUGAGACACGGUCCAGACUCCUACGGGAGGCAGCAGUGGGGAAUAUUGGACAAUGGGCGCAAGCCUGAUCCAGCCAUACCGCGUGGGUGAAGAAGGCCUUCGGGUUGUAAAGCCCUUUUGUUGGGAAAGAAAAGCAGCAGGUUAAUACCUCGCUGUUCUGACGGUAGCCAGAGAAUAAGCACCGGCUAACUUCGUG
rnacentral:rRNA from 1 species